rnacentral:lncRNA from 1 species
CCUCCUUAGAUUUAAUCUAAAUCUCCUAUCUUUUAGUUUAAAACUAUUCCCCUUAGUCUUAUAGCUAUCUGCCUGUGUAAAAAGUCAGUCUCACUCCUGUUUGUAAGUCCCCUUUAAGUAUCAAAAGGUUGCAAUGAAGUCUCCAAAACUUUGCCUUCUCCAGACUAAACAAGCUCAGAACCCUCAGCUUCUCUUCUCUUCUCUUGUCAUUUUUCUUUUUUCCCUCCAUUUUUAAAGAAAAUGAAACUCCUUGACUGAACACCUUCCUCUCUAGUCAGCAUCAUGUUUUCUCAAGUUACUGUAUGGGAACCGUUGAAUCACGGCCUGAACCUCUGAUUGACCACCUGAGGUGAGCACUGAGUCAGCCGCAGAGGCACAGGUGAAGGCAAUUUCACCUGAGUGACAGGUAGGGGGGGGGGAGGAGCCAGGCUCCACCCCUCCUAGACCCCAUUUAAGGGCUGACUUCCAAGGAGGAAGGCUCUCUCUCUGGAAAUCACUCCUUUUGGAGCCCUUUGGGACAUGGUGAGAGUUUCUGCAAAGCUGUGAAAGGCACCGGGCAAGUGUCAGCCCUCCUUGUAAUUCUGCGACCUCCGCGCUCAAACACUGCCGCCGACUCGGGAGCUCGGAGGGAGGGGAGGAAGGUGAAGGGAUCACAGCAGAACUGCACCAGAGCAGCGGGACACUUUAGUGAGAUGAAAGGUCAACGCGGGCUUAGCGCUGUUGUGGUGUCAUUUCCUCUGUUUGUCCCUUGGUGGAGUUCUUGAGUUACUUUCUCCCUUCAGCCAAACGGUUUUAACUGCUUUCUAUGGGGGUUUUGUCGUCGUUUUUCUCCCGCGUUCGAAUUUGCUGUCAUGUUUACUGUAUUUAACCUUUUCCUCGUAUUAUUAUGAAUAUGUUAUUUCCCAGCUCACCUGAUUUUUUUCCCCCUUCUUUGGUGCGCGUGCGUGUGUGGGCACAAACUAAUAAUACGCAUUGAUUAACGCACAAAGCUAUAUAAAUGAUUAAAUAACCCUUCUCUUGAGGUUGGCUCCCACUGCAGACCAGAAAGGUAACUCUCUGGUCAGAGGCACCGACAUUCCCGAACUGCAGAACCGAACCGUUCCGGGCUGAAGGCGGAGGGAGCAGGGACCGCCGGGACAUAGCCGAACAAACACUAAUGGCAUCUGCAUAUCUCAGCCGUGACCCCGUCUUUCCAAUCACUACCACAGUAGGAAAGCCCCGUUGCAGAGCUUCGAAAAGCAGCGCUGGGGGGUGCAGAGGAGCUGGGGAAGCUCCCAGCCUGCUUUAGGAUUCCCCCACGUACAGCAGGCUGCGAAUGUCAGCAAGACGGAUUCCUUCCCACACGCACGAUGCCACCUCCGUGGCCUUAUCAGAUGUUCCCUUUAAGGACACAAGCUCUUAUUUCCCCUCUGUAUAUCUCCGGCAUCUCGGGCUAUUUUAUUUAUUACAGCCGAUUACGCUGGCGAUCCCGCUUCCCACUUGAUCUCACCAGAUCAGGAGGACAAACGUCUGAGCGCGUGUGGGCGUCUGUGCGCAUCGGGUGGGCAGGGGGGGCUGUGCUGCGCAACAGCUUUGCCCGGCUGGUUGUGGGGGGAGCCCUCCCCCGCCCGCAGCCGCUGGGACCGGCUCUCCGCGGGGCCGGGGGGUGGCUGGGCUUCCCUUCCCCCCCACUUCCCCAGCACGAAACGAAGCAGCGGGAUGCGGGGGGAGGGGGGAAGGGGGCAGGCCAGCCCUGGCCCCCUCCCGGCAGCCGCGACACGUGGAGCCGGAGCGACACUGCCAUCCACCAUGCAGUGCACGUCGGGCCCAUUUCCCACGCCGUUUGCCUGCCCUGGGGGAAGAAAAGGAGGAGGGGGAGGAAGGGGGAAUGAUGGAGAAGAGGGGGGGAGCCGUUACCUCUGCUCCGAAAGAGGAACCAAUCCACUGUGAAGGACGAGGCACUCCCGAGCAGGAAAGACAUUGCACAUUCAGAGAGAGAUUGCAUGUGAAGACACUGCAAAGGGGAGAGAAGGGGAGGGGGGCCGGGGGCAGCCCGAGUGUGAAAGGCGCAGUGUGUGUACGGAGGCCGGGAGUGGGGCGGGGGGCAGGGGGGUGGGGGUGGGGAGGGGGAAGGGUGACACUACACAUGGCAAGAGAAAGAGAUCACUCAUUCGCUUGGAAAACGCUCUCGCAAAGCAAACCGCGGUGGUAGACAUGGGGGACAGCGGGGAAGAUGCCACGGUCAGGAGGAGCCCGCACCGUGCAACAGUUCGGAAUCCGAUUAAAG